rnacentral:lncRNA from 1 species
UACAGGUGUCAUUUUAAAAAGGCUUGCUGUUAGUCAGGCUUAUGCCUCUGGGCACAGGAGCCGGGCCGAGAAGUGAACAUGAUCCUUAGGCUGCCUCUGGGCACAGGAGCCGGGCCAGGAAAGCAGCUGGCAGCCCGGCCUACAUCGGCUCCACUGAGCCUUGUGAACGCUUAGACUAGUUUUCAUUCAAAAAUGGGUGGUUGCUCUGCUGGAUUCCGGAGCCUACUGUGUUUACGUGGUUGCCGCAGCAACACAAUUCCAAGCCAGCCCAAGGCCACUGGUCAUUCCUGCUCCUGACCAGGUCAGGGACAGAAGCAGCUCCAGGGCUCUCCUGCUUGAUGGCUCUUGGUGGGGCAAGACUUUGGCUUCCACCAAGCUCUCCAGCAUCAUCAGCACAUCCACCGUGGGGCUGAGAUCCAUGUCCGGAGGGCUCAGACGUGUGAGGAGGGGGUGUCUGUGUUCCCGCCGUGUAGGCAGCCCAACAGAGGAAGCCCCUGCUCCUGAACCGGCCAGGCAGGACCCCAAAAAGCCAAUGCGCUGCUGCCACAAACAUUUCCGACAGCCAAGCAAAACCCAGUCUCACUGA